GCAGAGGUCGGAGGAUCGCCGUGAGUUUGAGGCCACCCUGCGACUACAGAGUUAAUUCCAGGUCAGCAGAGAAACAAUGACUACAACCUGAUGUGGUGCUGUACAUCUGUAAUCUCAACUACCCAGGAGGAUGAGACAAGAGAAGCACUGGACCCCGGAAGUUCCAAGCCAGUUGGGGCAACUUUGUGAGACUGCUGUCUCAAAAGAGAGAAGGGUGGGGGAGAGGAGGGAGGGAGGGGAAAGAAUGGCAAUACCAAGCAAAAAUGUGAGUUCUUGGAUCUGAAUCAUGUAGCUGUGGGUAAGUUACUUAGCCCAUGCAUGACACCUUAUUGUAAAAUUGAGUUACUAGGUUAAUAACAGUACAUAAAUUACAGACAAUAAAGGGGGCUGGGCAUGGAGCUCAAUGCUUAGCAUGCCCUGUACUUCAAUACCAGAAAUUA